AGGUCUGCCAAUCAGCAGNUNNNCCCGAACACGGCGAAAUGAAAGUAAAGGUACGCUUGCGGUGGUUGCAUUUCUCAGAUUUUUGUGAUCGUCUUUGUGCGGCUGGAGACGUAAAAGUUUCCUCCGUAAUCCGUAAGCGGCCGAGGCAGGAUCCCGUGGAGAUAAAUAUAUAUGGCUUAGCGGUGAGUUGCGUCGUCUUGUGCUGCUUUCCUCUUUCUUCGGGAAGGGGUUGCGGUCGAGGCGGCGUCGCGUUCGGAGCCGCGGCUAAAAUCUCCAGUAACCGAAUCGAACGGCGGGACGUUUUCCUCGCGAGAACCAGUUCUCGGAUGGGCGCUCUCGUAUUCCUCGCACCUCUGCAUGUGCCACGGUCCUCUUACGGCCUUUUGACUCGUUCUCUUUUUUUUCCUUUUCCUCUCUCUUCCAAUCUGGGAGAUUGGGGUUGGAAUGGAGGAGGCGAGAAAGAGAGGUUUGGUUCGGGCACGCAAGUCGAGGUAAUGGAGAUGUUUCGCUCGGAGGAUGUCUGGCAAAAUAUAACGUUCCCCACUGUUUCUCUAAAAAAGAGAUUGCCGUACGUUUCGGGGGCGCACUGCCGGCCCGUUUCGACCGCCCUCGGUGCUCGUGGUCACACGAUAACAUCCGCGAAUGCUCCGGACGUUUUUAAAACCAUCGCUUUUCCUUUAUUCGGGUUUUUCCUCGGAGUUUUACCUUUACGGGUCUUUCUCCGGGGUUGCUCGGUGGGUUGCGUUGGGCGUUCGGCUAGGCGCGCGGGGGGCCCGAAAGUCGGUGAGGCGGAGCAAGAGCACACACGUUGGGACCCGAAAGAUGGUGAACUAUGCCCGGGCAGGACGAAGCCAGAGGAAACUCUGGUGGAGGUCCGUAGCGAUUCUGACGUGCAAAUCGAUCGUCGGACCUGGGUAUAGGGGCGAAAG
rnacentral:rRNA from 1 species